rnacentral:rRNA from 1 species
UACGAAGGGGGCUAGCGUUGCUCGGAAUCACUGGGCGUAAAGGGUGCGUAGGCGGGUCUUUAAGUCAGAGGUGAAAUCCUGGAGCUCAACUCCAGAACUGCCUUUGAUACUGAGGAUCUUGAGUUCGGGAGAGGUGAGUGGAACUGCGAGUGUAGAGGUGAAAUUCGUAGAUAUUCGGAGGAACACCAGUGGCGAAGGCGGCUCACUGGCUCGGUACUGACGCUGAGGUGCGAAAGCGUGGGGAGCAAACAGG